rnacentral:pre_miRNA from 1 species
AGAUCAGAAGGUGAUUGUGGCUUUGAAUAGCUAUUAAGCAGCCACAGCACUACCUGGUCAGA